rnacentral:pre_miRNA from 1 species
GGCCUAAACUUGAUGUAGAGUAGAUGGGAAGGAUCAUCUGACCCUACUAAACUACUCUUCUUCGACUUUGUGCCC